rnacentral:rRNA from 1 species
CAACUUUCAGCAACGGAUCUCUUGGCUCUCGCAUCGAUGAAAAACGCAGCGAAAUGCGAUAAGUAAUGUGAAUUGCAGAAUUCAGUGAAUCAUCGAAUCUUUGAACGCACCUUGCGCUCCUUGGUAUUCCGAGGAGCAUGCCUGUUUGAGUGUCAUUAAAUCCUCAACCCCUGCAGCUUUU